AUACGUAGGUGGCAAGCGUUAUCCGGAAUUAUUGGGCGUAAAGAGGGAGCAGGCGGCAGCAAGAGUCUGUGGUGAAAGCCUGAAGCUUAACUUCAGUAAGCCAUAGAAACCAGGCAGCUAGAGCGCGGGAGAGGAUCGUGGAAUUCCAUGUGUAGCGGUGAAAUGCGUGGAUAUAUGGAGGAACACCAGUGGCGAAGGCGUCGAUCUGACCUGCAACUGACGCUCAGUCCCGAAGGCGUGGGGAGCAAAUAGUAUUAGAUGCCCUAGUAGUCCACGCCGUAAACGAUGAGUACUAAGUGUUGGAUGUCAAAGUUCAGUGCUGCAGUUAACGCAAUAAGUACUCCGCCUGAGUAGUACGUUCGCAAGAAUGAAACUCAAAGGAAUUGACGGGG
rnacentral:rRNA from 1 species